GUUUACUCAAAAACUUCCAUCAAAAUAAGAAACUUCAGAAACGAAAACGAAGUGCGCAAAUACAAUUUCUUUGUCCACAAAAGUAGAAGAUCCAACAAAAAUUGAUAAUACGUGCACUGUAUAUUGUUACCUAAUUGAAUGUAAGUAAUGAGGAAGAAUCUUGGUCAGACAUGGAAAAACAAAAAAAACCUGAUUUUGGUUAGAAGGCACUGGAGAGAUUUUCCAAAUUUCCUAAGUAAUUAGGGUUAUCAAUCCAUUUGGGGGUGGUGACAGUAGGGUAGGUUAUAAGCGCAUUGUAUAUGGUGGUCGGCGCAAUCCACCAAAACUAAAAGUAGCGAACCGGAC
rnacentral:lncRNA from 1 species